rnacentral:rRNA from 1 species
UUUAUGGAGAGUUUGAUCCUGGCUCAGGAUGAACGCUGGCGGCGUGCCUAAUACAUGCAAGUCGAGCGAACGGACGAGAAGCUUGCUUCUCUGAUGUUAGCGGCGGACGGGUGAGUAACACGUGGAUAACCUACCUAUAAGACUGGGAUAACUUCGGGAAACCGGAGCUAAUACCGGAUAAUAUUUUGAACCGCAUGGUUCAAAAGUGAAAGACGGUCUUGCUGUCACUUAUAGAUGGAUCCGCGCUGCAUUAGCUAGUUGGUAAGGUAACGGCUUACCAAGGUAACGAUGCAUAGCCGACCUGAGAGGGUGAUCGGCCACACUGGAACUGAGACACGGUCCAGACUCCUACGGGAGGCAGCAGUAGGGAAUCUUCCGCAAUGGGCGAAAGCCUGACGGAGCAACGCCGCGUGAGUGAUGAAGGUCUUCGGAUCGUAAAACUCUGUUAUUAGGGAAGAACAUAUGUGUAAGUAACUGUGCACAUCUUGACGGUACCUAAUCAGAAAGCCACGGCUAACUACGUGCCAGCAGCCGCGGUAAUACGUAGGUGGCAAGCGUUAUCCGGAAUUAUUGGGCGUAAAGCGCGCGUAGGCGGUUUUUUAAGUUUGAUGUGAAAGCCCACGGCUCAACCGUGGAGGGUCAUUGGAAACUGGAAAACUUGAGUGCAGAAGAGGAAAGUGGAAUUCCAUGUGUAGCGGUGAAAUGCGCAGAGAUAUGGAGGAACAC